rnacentral:rRNA from 1 species
CCUACGGGUGGCAGCAGUGGGGAAUAUUGCACAAUGGGCGCAAGCCUGAUGCAGCAACGCCGCGUGAGCGAUGAAGGCCUUCGGGUCGUAAAGCUCUGUCCUCAAGGACGAUAAUGACGGUGCUUGAGGAGGAAGCACCGGCUAACUACGUGCCAGCAGCCGCGGUAAUACGUAGGGGGCUGGCGUUAUCCGGAAUUACUGGGCGAAAAGGGUGCGUAGGUGGUUUCUUAGGUAGGAGGGGAAAGGCUACGGCUAAACCGUAGUAAGCCUUUGAUACUGGGAAACUUGAGUGCAGGAGAGGAGGGUGGAAUUCCUAGUGUAGCGGUGAAAUGCGUAGAUAUUAGGAGGAACACCAGUGGCGAAGGCGGCUCUCUGGACUGUAACUGACACUGAGGCACGAAAGCGUGGGGAGCAAACAGGAUUAGAUAUCCGGGUAGUC